rnacentral:rRNA from 1 species
UAAUGCGAUUAACUGGUGUGAAUUGCAGAAUCCCGUGAACCAUCGAGUCUUUGAACGCAAGUUGCGCCCGAAGCCACUAGGCUGAGGGCACGUCUGCCUGGGUGUCA